CACUGAGUCAUGUCCAACUCUUUGUGAUCCCACGGAUUGCUGUAUACCAGGCUUCCCUGUCCUUCACUAUCUCCUGGAGUUUGCUCAAACUCAUGCCCAUUAAGUUGGUGAUGCUAUUUAACCAAUCUCAUCCUCUGUCUCCCCCUUCUCCUCCUGUCCUCAGUCUUAAUGAGGGUCUUUUUCUCCAAUGAGUUGGCUCUUUGAAUCAGGUGGCCAAAGUAUUGGAGCUCCAGUUUCAGCAUCAGUCCUUCCAAUGAAUAUUUAAGGUUGAUUUCCUUUAUGAUGGACUAGUUGAUUUCUUUGCUGUCCAAGGGGCUCCCAAGAGUCUUCUCCAGCACUACAAUUCGAAAGCACCAAUUCACAGAAUUUAAAGUGUGAUACUUUCAAAUAAAUAAUAAACAGUAUUGGAACAAAUACUGCAACAAAGGCUGCCACAUUGGAACAAAGCCUGCAGGACUGGAACAAGCUUAGCAUUAUUUCACUUUUUCUUUUUCCUUUUGUUUGUUCAUUCAUUUAAACAUACACUUUAGAACUGCACUUUGUCAAAAAACCUUUUCCUUCUCUUUUUAGUCCCUGGCCAGCUAAGAUUUUUUACUUUCAGAUACUGCAAACCGAUUUCUAGAGCAUCUACAUCUUAAGUGCUCAAGUGUCUACAGUUCCCUCUGGUGUUUGGUUGAAGGACAGAAUCACACGAAAAUGAAAACUCAAAAACUGAACUUCACAGAGGUGGUUUUGUGCUUUCCAGCAUCUUGUACAGCAAACACUGGCUCAACUUCUUACCCCCAAAAUAUGUCUCCAGUAGCUGUUGGGUCUGCCAUGACCACAGUGCGAUCUGACCAGACACUUCUGCUGGACUCCUUUCCAGCACCUGGCAGCUGUGACCCUGGAAGGCAGUGCUGUAGCCGCCCAGUCGAGCAGAGGUGAUCUUGUAGUUGUUAAGUCUGUAUGCAUGAGAGAAAAAUGUAACAACAUGAGUUGGGAGUAAAGUAAUCAGGCAGUAAAGAGAAUGAACAGUAAGAACAAUGGACCUGGUCAACAGAGCUGUGUUGUCAGAGGAGAGACAGUUGUUGGACACCGGGAUGCAUCACGCAGGGAAUGGAGGGAAUGGGCUUCAGUGCAGAAGUGAAGAUUGCCUUCAGCCACAGCUGGCCUCCGUUCUUUAGGGAAGUACAGCCAGCCUUCUUAGUAAGGGUUGUCGCAAUCAGAACUCUGAUUGAAGAUGGGAAGUCUGCCUACAACAGAUGACAGGGAUUGUAGGGAAAGAAGGUGGACAGUGGAGUCAAGUCAGAAGGCUGUUGUUAGAAGGGGAAAAGGUCUGCCUUAGUGGCAGUAGUCAUGACAGGAGGACAUGCACAGAAGCAAAGACCACAGAACUGAUAGCACUGACCACUGGCCAAUGUCUUGGAUCAUGAGAUAAGAAGAAAUUUAAAACAGGAAUCUGAAAUUGUGGACAUGGAGAACUGAUGGGUGAUGGUAUUGGCUGACUUCAGGGAUUGCAAGAAAUACACACGCGGGACCAGAUAAAAGGGUAGAUUUUACAGGACAUUCCAGUGGAAAUGAUAGGAAACUGGAAUUCACUGAUGGUCUUAGAGCUCAUGGGGAAAUGGAUAGGAGUCAGAGGGCCACGCUGUGAAGUUAAGUAGUGGUCCAGCUUGACAUGAGGCAGCUCAGCCUCCUAAGUGCUCAAAGAAUGUAAAAGAGAAACAUGCCCUCUGCACAGCAGCAUCCCGCCUGACUUGACUGCUUAGACUUACAUUUUCUUUCUUUUUCUUCUUUUCAGCUUUCUGUUUAUUAAAGAUAUACAUGCUCAUCCUAGCAAAUUUGGAAAGAACAGUUUAGAAAUAGGAAAAAAGAAAAUUUCUCUGAAUCCCACGUGAAUUCUUUCUUUCUCUCUUUUGUUUUCCUUUUGGUAUUUUCAAAAAAGUUGGGGAAUAGUGAAUUGGUGAAAUGGGUGAAGGGAUACUUGUGGUUGUAAAAUAAGUUCUGGGGAUGUAAUGUACAGUUAGGUGAUGAUGAUUACUAACACUAUUGCAUAUUUAUAAGUUGCUAAGAUAGUAGUUCUUAAAAGAUUUCAUCUGUAAGAAAAAAGUCUAACCAUGUAGGGUGAUGGAUGUUAACCAGAUUAUUGUGAUCAUUUUGCAAUAUAUACAUAUACUUAUAUAUCAAAUCAUUGUGUUGUAAACCUGAAACUAAUAUAAUGUUAUUUGUCAAUUAUAUCUCAAUCAUAUAGCACACGGAGCUCAACCAGUGCUCUGUAACAACCUAGAGGAGUGGGAUGGGCCAUUCAAGAGGAAGGGCACAUAUGUAUACUUGUGUAUAGUUAUGACUGAUGCAUGUUGUAUGGCAUAACAUUGUAAAGCAAUUAUUCUCCAAAUGAAAAUGUUUUAAAAAUGGGAAAAGUGUAUAAAUAAAUUAAUUAAAUAAAACCUGG
ensembl:lncRNA